ACAACGUUUGGAAACGAACGCUAAUACCGUAUACGCCCUCCGGGGGAAAAGGUCAGCCGCUAAAAGAGGGGCCCGCGUCUGAUUAGCUUGUUGGUAGGGUAAUGGCCUACCAAGGCAACGAUCAGUAGCUGGUCUGAGAGGAUGAUCAGCCACACUGGGACUGAGACGCGGUCCAGACUCCUACGGGAGGCAGCAGUGGGGAAUUUUGGACAAUGGGGGCAACCCUGAUCCAGCCAUUCCGCGUGAGUGAAGAAGGCCUUCGGGUUGUAAAGCACUUUCAGGAGUGAAGAAAGGCGUUGGGUGAAUAAUCUGACGUUUUGACGUUAGCUCCAGAAGAAGCACCGGCUAACUCCGUG
rnacentral:rRNA from 1 species